rnacentral:rRNA from 1 species
CGAUCCGAAAUGCUGUCUGGAGUGUGGGAGAGGCGCGUGCAUUGCAUGCGCAGCGUGAAGUCCGUAGAUAUCUGCAGGUACACCCGUGUUGACAGCGCCGCGUUGACCACUACUGUGCUGAGGAACGAAAGCUAGGGGAGCAAACAGCAUUAUAUAUCCUGGUAUUUACACAUCUCACCGAUAAGCACGUGGGUUCCCACCCGUCUGGGUGUCGUCCCGGAGGCAACGUGUUAAGUCCGUCACCUGUGGAGUACGGUGACAAGACUGAAACUCAACGGAAUUGCCGGGGGGCCGCACAAGCGGUGGAACUUGUGGUUCAAUUAGCCCCUACGCGAGGAACCUUACCUGGGCUAGAAGCGCACCUGACCAGCCGUAGAAAUACGGCCUUCCCGCAAGGGACAGGUGUCGAGGCGCUGCAUGUUUGUAGUCAGCUGGUGCCUUGAGGUGUUGGGCUAAGUUCCUCCACGAGCGCAACCCCUGCAAGUAGUUGCCACCCGCAAGGGGGAACUCCACGUGGACUGCUCCGGAUAACGGAGAGGAAGGUGGGGUUGACGUCAAGUCCGCAUGGCCUUUAUGUCCAGGGCUACACACGUGUUACAAUGCAGGGCACAAACCGUUGCCAACCCGCGAGGGGGAGCUAAUCGGAAAAAACUCUGCUCAGUUCGGAUUGCAGUUUGCAACUCGAUUGCAUGAAGCCGGAAUCGCUAGUAAUGGCGUAUCAGUUCGACGCCGUGAAUACGUUCCCGGGCAUUGUACACACCGCCUGUCACAUCAUGAAAGUGAGCUGUAGUAGAAGUCCCCAAUCUGCCCGCAAGGAGGCAGGCGCCCAAGGUAUGACUCAUGAUUGGGGUGAAGUCGUAACAAGGUAACC